rnacentral:rRNA from 1 species
AUGGACGUCUUGUACGUACGAUCACACCACACACCUGGCUGCUGGGCAGCUAUAUAUGGAGAUGAACCAAACUAUUUCAGACUCGCCAGCGAUAUAAAUAGGGAGCGCGCUAGCUCUUGCAAUCCAUCCAUCCGUCCAGUCCUAUAUAUAGCUGGUGGAUUGUCGGUACAGUUGCAUGCAAAAGGAGGCCUAGGAGCCGGGGACGUACGUGCGUGCAUCGACUGUUUCUUCCUCGCACAACAAGCUGGUCGAUCGAUCGAGCUUCUGAAGAUGGCGCGGCAACGUACGGUCGCCAUGGCGCUGGUCGUCGGAGUGAUCUUGGCGUCCAUCACUAUCGAUCAGGUGCAAUCCAUCGGCGUGUGCAACGGCAAGGUCGGCGACAACCUGCCAUCGCGGGCCGAGGUGGUGCGGUUCUACAAGUCCCUGGGAAUCGGCGCCAUGCGCAUCUACGAGCCGGAACCCGAGACGCUCCUGGCUCUCGACGGCACCGAGAUCGAACUCAUCAUGGACGUGGGUGGCGGCUUCGCCGCCAUCGCCUCCGACCCUGCCGCCGCGGCCGGCUGGAUCCGUGACAACGUGCUUGCCUUCCCGGGCGUGCGCAUCAAGUACAUUGCGGCCGGCAACGAGAUCGAGGGCAGCGACACGGACAACAUCGUCCCGGCCAUCAAGAACCUCAACGCCGCGCUCGCUGCGGCCAGCCGCACUGACGUCAAGGUGUCCACGGCGGUCAAGAUGAGCGUGCUGGGGUCCUCCUCGCCGCCCUCCGAGGGCGCGUUCAAGGACCCAUACAUGACGGAGGUGGCCAAGAUGCUCAAGGCCACCGGGGCCCCGCUCCUCGCCAACGUGUACCCCUACUUCGCCAAAAGGGACACCCCGGACAUCGACCUCGGCUUCGCGCUCUUCAAGCAAAGCACCAGCACGGUGAGCGACAGCGGUCUCACCUACACGAACCUCUUCGACGCCAUGGUCGACGCGGUUUACUCGGCCUUGGAGAAGGCGGGUGCGCCGGACGUGCCCAUUGUGGUCUCGGAGAGCGGAUGGCCGUCGGCCGGCGACGACCUGGCAACCGUCGCUAACGCGCAGGCGUACAACCAGGGGCUCAUCGACCACGUCGGCAAAGGCACGCCCAAGAGGCCGGUGCCCCUGGAGACGUACAUCUUCGCCAUGUUCAACGAGAACCAGAAAGGAGGGGCCGUGACAGAGAAGAGCUUUGGGCUGUUCAACGGCCCCGACAAGACGCCGGUGUACCCUAUAAAGUUCAACAAUUAG